rnacentral:rRNA from 1 species
ACGUAGGGUGCGAGCGUUAAUCGGAAUUACUGGGCGUAAAGCGUGCGCAGGCGGGUUUUUAAGCCAGACGUGAAAUCCCCGGGCUUAACCUGGGAAUGGCGUUUGGGACUGGAAGUCUGGAGUGCGGCAGAGGAGACUGGAAUUCCUGGUGUAGCAGUGAAAUGCGUAGAUAUCAGGAGGAACACCGAUGGCGAAGGCAGGUCUCUGGGCUGACACUGACGCUCAUGCACGAAAGCGUGGGGAGCAAACAGGAUUAGAUACCCUGGUAGUCCACGCCCUAAACGAUGUCGACUGGUUGUUGGGGGUUUGACACUCUCAGUAACGAAGCUAACGCGUGAAGUCGACCGCCUGGGGAGUACGGCCGCAAGGUUA